GGAUAUGAGGGUGAUCUGCCUGUGACAUCUGUGCCAGGGUUGAUUCGGCUCAUCUGGCUGGCUAGGCGGGUGUCUCCAUCCUCUCUCACCACUCUUAGUGCUUCCCUACUGAGGCUUCAUGAUCAAAGAGGGCAACCUUCCCCAAACAGAGACAAAUGGGAGGGUGUAUGAGUAGCUGCGUUCCCCUGCUAUAACAUCCCAAUAAGCUCUCAAACUGGAAAUGAACAUGUUAUAUAUAGAUAUACACACACAGUGUGUAUUUGUGUGUUU
ensembl:misc_RNA 7SK 7SK RNA